rnacentral:rRNA from 1 species
AAAACAAAUACGAAGGGUGCAAGCGUUAAUCGGAAUUACUGGGCGUAAAGCGCGCGUAGGUGGUUUGUUAAGUUGAAUGUGAAAGCCCCGGGCUCAACCUGGGAACUGCAUCCAAAACUGGCAAGCUAGAGUAUGGCAGAGGGUGGUGGAAUUUCCUGUGUAGCGGUGAAAUGCGUAGAUAUAGGAAGGAACACCAGUGGCGAAGGCGACUCUCUGGUCUAUAACUGACGCUGAGGCGCGAAAGCGUGGGGAGCAAACAGG